UAAAAACUGGGAGUUCAAAUGUUCCACUCCAGGCCGGGGCUUCUUUCACCUAGCGAUACCACGUCCUUCCGAAGGCUGCUCAGCCCCAACUCCGCUGCUGUGAAAAACGUUAUCACUGCAGAGCAAACUCAUUCCACAUUCACCACCUCCCUUAGAAACCUUUAAUAGCUUCUAAAAUCUUGCUAAUUCUCUCUCAGGCCAAAAGCUAAUGCUUUCCUCUGACUGUAGAUUUACACCAUAAAAGACGGUGGCUUGUGUGUUGUUCAGUCCACAGCAGCAAAAACCUAAGGAGGAAAUCAACUUCGGUUGUAACUACUACAUGCUGUCUCUAAGGAUAUCUUUAUCCAUUUGUCUCCUUAGCAACCAAAAUGUUUACAAAUUAACACAGUGAAUGUUGAACAGUAGAGUGUUGUUGGGAAACUAGUUCCGGGCAAUGGAAAACUUCACACCGAGAUUUAUUUUGAAUCAGGGUGCUUUUCCACAGAGAGCAGCAUCUUUCCAAAAUCCUGAUUUGCGGACCUGCCAAGGCCAUCAAAAAGUAACAGCAUAAGAGGGUGCUGAUUGUCUUGGAGCUGACAGCCUAUAUGGGGAGAUGAAAAAGCCCUCGCUGUUUUCCUUGGUUCCAGGCAACAAGGAUAAACUCAAGCGGUCCAAGAACCACAUUGCCCACAUAACUAUUUCACAGACUUGUGCAAAGGCCCUUUGCGACUGAACAAACUCUACCCAACUCCAGCUAUUCUAGGGGAGGGAACAAGUGUCACCCAAGAAAGUUGGUGGUGAAUGUGUAACUUCCACAAAACGUGUGUAAGCAUUUACCUUCCACCGUGGGCGCUGCGGUGAUGUCACUGGUCCUCACACAUCUCCCCAAAAGAUGGAAAUCUGCUGAGAAAGCAUCAAGGCCCACUUCAAAGCUAAAUGGGUAUUUUAAGAGGACUGCCUCCUAAAACGGCCCUUCAACAUGUGCAGCUCCAGAACGUGCCUUGACACACCGCUUCAUGAAAGGGACUUUUUGUUUAAAUCAAAUGACUGUCCUUUUAAUUUUGCUCAUUUCUCAUUCGAAGUUUGGUGUUAAUCAUCAGAUUUUAGAAAUGUUUGAGCCUUUGAAAAACUACUUUGUCAAUCAAACUAAGUGUCCCUACUCACUUUUAUAAAUGAAUUAUUUU
rnacentral:lncRNA from 1 species